UCCGGUAAUUGCCUCCCCUUAUCGUAAACAAAAUAAUUAAAACACUAUAAUAAUGUUUUGUCUCAGUCAGCAUAUAAUUAGGUCAUGUCUGGUGAUGUAUAUACUACUGAAUCGCAAACAUAUGACCAGCGAACAGCUAUGUUAUUGCCCCUUUUAACACUUUAACUUUAACAAGCAUUUUAUAGUAAAAAGUUGAGAUGGUGUCAAAACCAUAUGGGUGAUAUGAAGUUCCGGCCCAGCACUGACAGCAUCUUUCAACACUUCAAAGGCAGCAUGCAUUUGUAAAUACCAGGAGCAGG